UCAAGGCAUGGAGUAUCCAUUUGAACCCUUCAAACAAAGCCACCUCCAGCCUUUUCUUCUUCAGUGUGGUGCAGGGCUGUGGUUGACACGGCACACACAUGCAUCAUACACAUUGUAAUUACAGAGGCAUUUUAAACAUAGGGCUGGCUCAGCUGACGGAGAACAUCAAAGCCAAGGCCAGAGCUGAGUGACUGAGUCCCUGAACAUGGCAGAUUCACAUACCCGCUUGCACACUCACUCAAAAAUGAUAACAGAACUCCCUCUACCUCAGACAAGAGCAGAGACAGGCAAACAUGUCGGAGGGGGGUGAUGAGGCGGAUGAGGGCUAGCCCCUCCUUACUGCUGUAAAAGCAGGAGGAAAAAAAAAGAAAAAAAAAAGGAGAGAGGAGAAAGGAAAAAAAAGGGAGGAAGAAAGGAAAUCGCAGCCAUACGGGCUAUGCUCCCCCAGCUGAACUGUAUCUGCAUUUUAACGGUGGGAGAAAAGACACUAUAUGGGGGUGUGCUCUUCCCUCUACCCUGCCAACCUCAUCUGUCAGCCAUUAGUUAAUCAGAGCUGGUAACACAGAGCACAGAGAGCUGGCACAGCUCGUGGGACCAGAGGACAGCUUCACCUCUGAGAGCAAGAAGAGGGCAAGGACUCAGGGACCUCUGCUUCACCGAUCUACAGCUGGGCUGCUUCACUCACCAGCACCCACUCAGCAUUAAUGUCUUUGUCUAUAAAUGGCAGGCAUCAACUUCAGAAUGACCCCACCCACUCCUCCAGUUGUGUGAACAGGUAAGCCAAUAAGACACAUGGAAAGUUUUAAGGAAUCCAAGAGAGACUUAAGUAGAGUUUAAAUUUCUGUCACUCAGCCAAUAUUGCAAUCAGAGCAGCUAAUACUGUACAAUACCCCACAGAGAGAAGGCAAAUUCCACAAAACCAACUAACCCCUUUUGGCUCAGAUCAAAACUACUCUGUGUGUAGAGGUGCUUUUAUUUAAACACUGAUCACAUCGGCCCCCAGCAUCUAGCAGUGCAUGAAAACAUUUAUUACUGUGAGAACUGUAAUUACACUAUACAGUAAGUCUUUUUGCAAACAAAUUGUGUUUUGAAGUUCGUAAUAUACAAUGAAGACUUCAAAGAAAUUGUGAUUUAUUAUGUGCAAAAGUCAAUUUAGACCACAAGAUCUUUUUUUUUUCCCCUAUAUGUUUUCUAUAUUUAGUGGUUCUAAGUAAGACCAUAUCUUAAAAUGUGAGAGCCAAGGUCGAAUUCCAAUCACAUUGCAGCACGUUCACAAUGCAAGAGGAUGGUAAUACCAAGCAUAUGGUAACUGUAGUUACAUAGACUCUUCAAAGGAGUUCAGUGUUGACCCGGAGCAAGAACAAACUUGCAAGUGUAGACUGUGAAGGGAGUGUAGAAUUAUACCCUGGGCUACAUGUUGUCAAGGCUGUGAGAUAGAGAAUAUACUAAUGAAAGGUGGUUACAUUUCCCCCCGCACACCAAAUGAAGGACACAGCACGUAGGAAUAUUAUGAAACUGAAUGUUCUUUCAGAUAGUGUCCUGUCUUUUGUUUUAGCUUCAUCAAUGUCACCACAUUCUCUGCAAAUGACCGAAACAGUGAGGCGAGAGGGAGGAAGAUAAAGGGUCAAAGAACACUCGGGCUGCUUUUCUGUUCAUGGUCUUGUUUUGCAGGGAGGUUUCAAAGACAGAAGCCAAAACAACACAUGUUGUCAACAUGGGAACAGCUGGUAAGAGCGGCCUCAUGGGGCAGAGGAAUGUCAAGAGUCAUAGAUCUUUUAUCCAUCAAGACAAAAUAGCCACACAGACUUUGUUUGAAAGCAUGCACAGGAGCAGUGUGAAAUCCACCUCGUCUCAUGCUGAGCUUAACUAACUUCAACCAUUUAUCUCACCAGAUGCUUCAAACUACAAAAAUAACGUAUGAUGUACCAUCAGUUUUCAAAGUAUGCCAAUAUAAUCACAUGCAAAUAAUACAUGACAAGACACAAUGAUCAAUUUCAGAUGUGACAAGCUGAUUUUGCCAUAUUAUUAUUAUUGAUUGCAAGAUGUGGAAAUAAUUUUCCGUCUGUCUACGCAGUUCCUGACAGACAGACAGCUGCAGGAACUGCAGCAUACUUGUUAUUGGCUAAAACUAAACAUCAUAUUCCGCACUGCGCACUCCAAAGUAUGACUUUGUCAUCUUUUAAAAGAGUUAAAUAAACAGCCAGUUGAGUAGGCAUAUACAGUUUCUUCAACAUGGUUUCCUUUUUAAGUCAACACCACUCAGAAAAGAUACACCAAGCAGCCAUAAGUCAAAACCAAAUGACAAAACAGCAGAGCUCUUUCAUCUGUCUAAACAUUCCACUGAGAGUUUAUAGAGAUUAUAGUGCAACGUCCAGCACUGCUCAGUACUCUGCUGCAGAUGUGGAGGAAUAACUAUAGAUACGAUGAAAAAUGCCCAUUCCUGAUGCCAGAACUUGAAAAAUACAAACAGCAGACCAAGCCGUAAAGUUAUAAAGCAGUGACCUUUGACACGGGACAUUCAAGUCUAACUCCCUCUUCCUGCUAAAUGUUACACAGCUGCUUUUCUAAUCUGUCAUAGCAACCGGCCUGCCACAGCUUACAUAGAGGAAAGUAUGGAAAAGCUCAAAAAAAAAAAAAAAAGGGGGAGAUCCUGACCUCACGUUUAGAUUUACAAGAAAAGAAAAGAUAAAACCAUAAAGGAAGUGAUAACAGCAAAGCAGAAUUAUAUCGUUCUAUGUUGAUUUUGUAAUGGAAAAUCCACCAAAAUCCACACCUGCUAUGCAUGUGUCCCAUUACCACAUAGAAUACGAUUUAGAAAAUUCAUUUAUCGCAGAGCUUAUGUGGAGAUUAUUUGGUAUCUAAAUGCAAAUGGCUGGGGCGUAACAAAAUUACCGACAUCCCAACCCAACCUCUUCAUCAACUGUCAGGUUUUUUUGUCUUGACAUAGGGCAGAUGGCUCCAUCAGAGCAAAAGUCAACCCAAAAACACUGUCAAUGAGAAAAUGAAUAAAGAAAUGAAAACUGUUAUUCUUGCACAGCUACAAAGUUUUUGAGGCAGAUUUUUCUUCUGUCAACAUCAAAAAAAUAACAUCAGGUUUUAGUUUGAGCCCUUCAAACUCAACUAAGAUGAUUCUUUUUGCAGACAAUCCUUUUGUAGACUUCAUCAAUGGUAAACAUUCAUACAUGAAAAAACCCCCAAAACAAAACAUGGUAGAAAACAAGACAAGAGCUACAGGCAAUGGCAAUAUUCCCUGCUGGAAGUUUUGCCAAAAGUAUAAUGCAGUGGUUAAUAUGCAAAAUGCUCCAUGACAUCUUCUAGAGCUCUACAAUGCUUAUAUAGAAAAUAGUACUUAAAAAAAACAACCACCAAGCACCACAUCUUUUUUUGUUUUAUAGACCUGACAAUUCAUCAUUCAUUCAUCAAGAAAUAAUUGCCAGUUUUGAUGAUGAGAAGAAAUGCGAAAAGCCCCCAAGAAAUUACUCAAGGUUGGGUUUUUGCUUUGAUGUUGGUAUCUUUUUGUAACCAGUGUAGAAAGGACCAAAGAAAAGAAAAAAACUGACACUGACUGACUGUAAUUUACUCACAUCUGUUGACCAGUGGCCCUGCUAUCAUAGGAAAACCAUUCUAAGUAGAUCUGACAGGUUGCUAAGUCGCGUGGAAAGUACAGCGUACUCGAAAUUUUACGAUACACAUUGAGCUAAAUCCCUAACCCUCUUUGGUGUAGCUAAAACCUCACACAGUCUUGUAUGUUGGAGUUGAAAUGAAGGACUAUUAUCUCCCCGUUACUUCAAGUGAGCUAUGACAUCCAGUUUAUCACUGUCUCUCCCGCAAGAGGGGCGAAAAGCUUUUUGACAGAGAUGUUGAGUCCUACAAACUCCAUUUCACUCCAUCAACUUGAUAGUAUCGACGGGCCCAAACAGGACCAGGCCCCAUCAAGUCUGAUGUGGUAGCCUCAUGUGAGAAGAAUAUCUGUUUAAGUGUAGUCUAAGAGGUGACUCCUAGAGGCUUAAAAGCACUUUAUAAUACUUGACCGACGCGUUGAAGAAAAGCAGGCUCUGUCUACCUGUGUCAAAGUGAGGCCAUGUUCCCUAUCAUUGGAAGAGCCUCGGGUAGACCAACCUAAACGCUUCCAGACUUUCACGCCCUGUCUACUCUCAUUUCACUGUAUCUGCUCCUAACUCAGAUCGCCCACAAUAUAACAUCUACCCUUUCUAGAUAGGCUCCUCUCUUAAUUUUUCACAGCGCCCUGAACAAACUCAUUGUGGUUCUAGGUCAACUCUUAUUUCUUUAGAUAGGGGCAUUGCUCCCUUUGCUCCGACAGCAUUAACAUCAAUUUCCGAGGGUAUUUAUGAAAGUGCCGGCAAAGAAAAUCUACAUUACAAUGUGCAAUAUGUUAAACUUCAUGUUAUCCAACUGCUUGACCUAAAAGAGACUUCCAUUCCUAAUGUGAACGCCAUGCUGUGAUCCAAAUAUUUUGAAUCUUCGGAUAACAUCUCGCAGCAUCUGGUUUUCUGCCUCCCAAGUCUUAAUGGUUUGCCAAAAUUUGUAGGCCAUAGUGCUUGACUUUUAACCAGCAAAUCAUCAACUGAACUAUUUUGCUUUCUCUCAAAGGCCGAAAUGAAACAUUAUCUCCUGACUCAGAUUUAAAUUAAAGCCAUGACAAGAGCCAUGCUUGUGAAGACCAAGGGACCUUCCAGCCACCGCUGAGAUUGCUCACACUCGACUGGCAUAUGGGCAGGAUCAGGAAACACAAGCCCAAUGAUGUCACGACCAACUGACCCCAGGGUGACAGGUUUGGAGAAUGUUCAUGCCCACUAACCCUCAGGCCAAAGUCAAGUAUGUCAAUGUUGUGCAUGUGGAUUUCAUUUGAAACAGCAUGAUUAGUUCACAGACGCUCAACUGCGAUCCCCCUCCAUGGGAAACCCUCUCUGGACAGGAAACGGUAUGUUUUUGUUAGCAACAAACAGGCAUAAAUUACUAAAAUGGUGCCUUGGUUGCCAAUUUAUCACACACAGCCUUUUUGUUGCUGCACAUAUUUGACAUCGACAUUGCUUUCAAGGUAAUUACCAUUAGUGUUUUAAUGAUAUUUACAUUCCUGAUAGUUUAUGUUGAACUAUGUGUCUGCAAUCCUGAAUUUGUGCAAUAAAUGUGAUAAUGGUUUUGUGUCUUUUCUUCUUUAUAUAUGACAAAUGUGUUUUGAUGAUGUGCAUUUGGAAAACGCAUAAAGUUUUGACAAUUGUUUGUUUAGUUUUUAGCAGAUUAUCUUUGAGAGACAAACUAAAGUAAAGCUUCUAUGAAAAAUCUGUGCAAUUGUAAAGACAUUAUUGUCUUUCUGUAAAUGGAUGCCAACAUAAAGGGUUACUCUUGUUGGUCAAAUGUUUACCAACGUGCAAAGCAUUAAAGAAUAUUGUCAAGAUGGUAGUAUAACAUCAUUAAUCAAGUUAUUAACAAGUAAUUUGGGUUAUUUCCAAGAAAUGUAGCGUACCUCUGAAACAUAUUUAACAAGAUUGGAGAAAUGGCUUGAAUUAAAAUGCUUUAUGAGGGAUAAUAAAUGUGUUAACUAUGUUCCCAAGAAGGGAUUAAACAGUGCACAAUAAUAUUGGAUAUUUUGAGAAUACAUUAGAUACAUUUUACUGUUAUUGACAGUGUUUUAAUUUAGUGUAGAAAAAUAUUUUACUACCAACGGAGAGGCCAUUACAUAAGGUAAGACGCCUGAAGCUUUGAAACCAUGAGAAAUAUUUUGACAAUGUUAUGUAAUACAAGGAGGACCCUGGACCAUUUGAUCCCCCUCUGGCCUCUAAAAGAGCCUCCUGAAUGUUUAUCAUUUCAUACAGGCAAUAUUUAAUAUUUUGGCUCUAUAAACUGAUUAAAAAUGAAAAAGGCUUCCUGUAAUAUAUAAUAGAAGUCACAUGUGUGAACGGAUGUCAGCCUCUCGUUUAAGUUUAAAUCACUCUGAUCAACACUUGAUCUAGCAUGUGGACUACACUGUCGCUUCAUAUAAAGCUAUAUUAAAUAAAUGCUCCACUGCAGUUGGUUCAUAAGAUGUUUCUGAUUAUAGAAUUUAGUGAUAUGGCGUAUUUUAAGUUGAAGCCUAUGGCAAAUUUAUAUGAACUAUUACAUUAUUCAGAAUAUACUGCCUGAUAUUGCCUUUUCACGCUGUUUUAAUUUGUGUUUCACUUUAAAGAACAACCGCCUCUAAAAAAAAA